rnacentral:piRNA from 1 species
UGCUCUGUCAUUCGUGACCUGCUCUUUC